rnacentral:lncRNA from 11 species
UGGCAAAGUUAUGACUUCAUGGACUAAAAGCAUUUUUGCCUAGGUCUUUAGCCAAAAAUGCAUCUAGAAUGGUUUGCCAGGGGACUGUUCCCUGCUCUCUGGCUGACAUUUUACAUGAAGAAUGCAGAGGAGAAGAAAGAAACAUGGAAACAGAUUUGUUCUUCCAUCUUAGGACCUCAUCAGAUGGAUAGUUUUCCCUGUCUCUGCGCACUGCCAGCAUGCUGCUAAGACAGAGUCUACUGGAACCCACCAAAUGAUGCAGAGCUACCACCAGUGGGGCUCUGUGCCAACAGUGUGCUGAGACAGAGCCCUGCAAAGUCAGGUGACUACCCAACUUCUCAUGGAAGAAGCCAUGGACAGCGGAGAAACAUCACGGGAUGCCAGCCAAUGACCCAUGAAGGUACCAUGAAGUGGGGAGGCAAAUUGGAAUUGGAAUGAGGAAGUGCCGUCAC